ACAGGUGUUGCAUGGCUGUCUUUAGUUCGUGUUGUGAAAUGUUAGGUUCAUUCCGUGAACGAACGUAAUCCUUAUCUUUAAUUUAAAGAAGUAUCUUUUGAUAAGAAAGAAUAAUUAGGCCGAAGACAAGUCCUCAUGACCCUUAUGGAGUGGGCUACAGACGUGCCACAAAGAUUUCUACAAAGGGAAGCAAAGAUGGAAGUCCGAGCAAAUCCUCAAAAGAAG
rnacentral:rRNA from 1 species